rnacentral:rRNA from 1 species
UAGGGAAUCUUCGGCAAUGGGGGGAACCCUGACCGAGCAACGCCGCGUGAGUGAAGAAGGUUUUCGGAUCGUAAAGCUCUGUUGUUAAGGAAGAACGAGUGUGAGAAUGGAAAGUUCAUACUGUGACGGUACUUAACCAGAAAGGGACGGCUAACUACGUGCCAGCAGCCGCGGUAAUACGUAGGUCCCGAGCGUUUUCCGGCUUUAUUGGGCGUAAAGCGAGCGCAGGCGGUGAGAUAAGUGUGAAGUUAAAGGCAGUGGCUCAACCAUUGUAGUCUUUGGAAACUGUUUAACUUGAGUGCAGAAGGGGAGAGUGGAAUUCCAUGUGUAGCGGUGAAAUGCGUAGAUAUAUGGAGGAACACCGGUGGCGAAAGCGGCUCUCUAGUCUGUAACUGACGCUGAGGCUCGAAAGCGUGGGGAGCGAACAGG